GCUGGGCAUUGUGGUGGGCGCCUGUGGUCCCAGCUACUUGGGAGGCAGAAGCAGGAGACUUGCUUGAGCCCAGGAGUUGGAGGUUGCUGUGAGCUGUGAUGCCACAGCACUCUCCCCAGGGUGACAUAGCGAGACUCUGUCUCAA
rnacentral:SRP_RNA from 1 species